rnacentral:tRNA from 1 species
UGGGCCCGUGGUCUAGCUGGUCAUGACGUUGCCUUUACGAGGCAAAGGUCCCCGGUUCAAAUCCGGGCGGGCCCAU